rnacentral:rRNA from 1 species
UACGUAGGGGGGCUAGCGUUGUCCGGAAUCAUUGGGCGUAAAGAGCGUGUAGGCGGCCCGGUAAGUCCGCUGUGAAAGUCGGGGGCUCAACCCUCGAAUGCCGGUGGAUACUGUCGGGCUAGAGUGCGGAAGAGGCGAGUGGAAUUCCUGGUGUAGCGGUGAAAUGCGUAGAGAUCCGGAGGAACACCAGUGGCGAAGGCGACACGCUGGGCCAUACCUGACGCUGAAAGCAGCGACACGCAUGGGGGAGCAA